AUGGAGGGAGCCUGGUCCAGGAGACUGUGUCGGACCCGGUCAGCCGGCCCGGGCUGGACUGGGCGGAAGCGGGGAGCACUGUGGGGCCGGCGCCUUUUCCUCUGCCCCGCCCCCUGGGACCACCUCCCCUCCCCCCUGCUGUCCGGUGGCCGCGCUGUGGCCGCCGGUGGCCGUUAGGCUACCUGAGGCCGUUCCUUCUGGUCUCUCUCUCCUGGGCCGCGGAGAGACCGUCUCCCUGCCGUUACAGCAGGCCCCAUCCCAGCGCCCAGCCGUACUUGGGGAAAGGCCGGUUGCGAUUCCGGGGCUUUCCCGCCAGAGCUGGGUCUUCUCUGGGGAGAGCUGUUUUCACCGGGAAGCUCGGCUUUCUGUGGUACCGGCUUCAUCUCCCGCCUUCCUUGAGACCCGAGUGAUAUUUCUUGACUACUUCUGCGUCUCACGUAAACAUUUCUCCAACUCUCCUACUCUGUGGUAUCUCCCUGAGAUGUGAUAUCGCUAGUGCCACCAUCAGAAAGAAACGUCUGGACCCUCCUGCUCAGGUUAUGAAAAUCCCCUUAACUGCCACAAUUUGCUUACCUGGCUCAUCGCCUCCUGGACUUUGUAUCUUUGCUAAAGUCAGUGAUGUGAAAAGACUUGAAAUGGAUGAUAUUGCUGAUAGGAUGAGGAUGGAUGCUGGAGAAGUGACUUUAGUGAACCACAACUCCGUAUUCAAAACCCACCUCCUGCCACAAACAGGUUUUCCAGAGGACCAGCUUUCGCUUUCUGACCAGCAGAUUUUAUCUUCCAGGCAAGGACAUUUGGACCGAUCUUUUACAUGUUCCACAAGAAGUGCAGCUUAUAAUCCAAGCUAUUACUCAGGCCCAGGCCUGGGAGUGCUUGCAAGAUAUAGUUGGGGUAAAAUGUUGACUUUUGGUGGACACCACGGAGUCACAUUGAUGCAGAUAAGGCACAUGGCUGUGGCAGGAUUCAGCUCCUUCAUCAAUUUUCAGAUAAUCCUUCCUCAGACAGUUUUCUUGGCUCAGGCGAUUUAAGAACCUUUGGCCAGAGUGCAAAUGGCCAAUGGAGAAAUUCUACCCCAUCGUCAAGCUCAUCUUUACAAAAAUCAAGAAACAGCCGAAGUCUUUACCUCGAAACCCGAAAGACCUCAAGUGGAUUAUCAAACAGUUUUGCGGGAAAGUCAAACCAUCACUGCCAUGUAUCUGCAUAUGAAAAAUCUUUUCCUAUUAAACCUGUUCCAAGUCCAUCUUGGAGUGGUUCAUGUCGUCGAAGUCUUUUGAGCCCCAAGAAAACUCAGAGGCGACAUGUUAGUACAGCAGAAGAGACAGUUCAAGAAGAAGAAAGAGAGAUUUACAGACAGCUGCUACAGAUGGUCACAGGGAAACAGUUUACUAUAGCCAAACCCACCACACAUUUUCCUUUACACCUGUCUCGAUGUCUUAGUUCCAGUAAAAAUACUUUGAAAGACUCACUGUUUAAAAAUGGAAACUCUUGUGCAUCUCAGAUCAUUGGCUCUGAUACUUCAUCAUCUGGAUCUGCCAGCAUUUUAACUAACCAGGAACAGCUGUCCCACAGUGUAUAUUCCCUAUCUUCUUAUACCCCAGAUGUUGCAUUUGGAUCCAAAGAUUCUGGUACUCUUCAUCAUCCCCAUCAUCACCACUCUGUUCCACAUCAGCCAGAUAACUUAGCAGCUUCAAAUACACAAUCUGAAGGAUCAGACUCUGUGAUUUUACUGAAAGUGAAAGAUUCCCAGACUCCAACUCCCAGUUCUACUUUCUUCCAGGCAGAGCUGUGGAUCAAAGAAUUAACUAGUGUUUAUGAUUCUCGAGCACGAGAAAGAUUGCGCCAGAUUGAAGAACAGAAGGCAUUGGCCUUACAGCUUCAAAACCAGAGAUUGCAGGAGCGGGAACAUUCAGUACAUGAUUCAGUAGAACUACAUCUUCGUGUACCUCUUGAAAAGGAGAUUCCUGUUACUGUUGUCCAAGAAACACAAAAAAAAGGUCAUAAAUUAACUGAUAGUGAAGAUGAAUUUCCUGAAAUUACAGAGGAAAUGGAGAAAGAAAUAAAGAAUGUAUUUCGUAAUGGGAAUCAGGAUGAAGUUCUCAGUGAAGCAUUUCGCCUGACCAUUACACGCAAAGAUAUUCAAACUCUAAACCAUCUGAAUUGGCUCAAUGAUGAGAUCAUCAAUUUCUACAUGAAUAUGCUGAUGGAGCGAAGUAAAGAGAAGGGCUUGCCAAGUGUGCAUGCAUUUAAUACCUUUUUCUUCACUAAAUUAAAAACGGCUGGUUAUCAGGCAGUGAAACGUUGGACAAAGAAAGUAGAUGUAUUUUCUGUUGACAUUCUUUUGGUGCCCAUUCACCUGGGAGUACACUGGUGUCUAGCUGUUGUGGACUUUAGAAAGAAGAAUAUUACCUAUUACGACUCCAUGGGUGGGAUAAACAAUGAAGCCUGCAGAAUACUCUUGCAAUACCUAAAGCAAGAAAGCAUUGACAAGAAAAGGAAAGAGUUUGACACCAAUGGCUGGCAGCUUUUCAGCAAGAAAAGCCAGGAGAUUCCUCAGCAGAUGAAUGGAAGUGACUGUGGGAUGUUUGCCUGCAAAUAUGCUGACUGUAUUACCAAAGACAGACCAAUCAACUUCACACAGCAACACAUGCCAUACUUCCGGAAGCGGAUGGUCUGGGAGAUCCUCCACCGAAAACUCUUGUGAAGACUGUCUCACUUAGCAGACCUUGACCAUGUGGGGGACCAGCUCUUUGUUGUCUACAGCCAGAGACCUUGGAAACAGCUGCUCCCAGCCCUCUGCUGUUGUAACACCCUUGAUCCUGGACCAGGCCCUGGCGAGAUGCAUUCACAAGCACAUCUGCCUUUCCUUUUGUAUCUCAGAUACUAUUUUUGCAAAGAAACUUUGGUGCUGUGAAAGGGGUGAGGGACAUCCCUAAGCUGAAGAGAGAGACUGCUUUUCACUUCUUCAGUUCUGCCAUCUUGUUUUCAAAGGGCUCCAGCCUCACUCAGUCCCUAAUUAUGGGACUGAGAAAAGCUUGGAAAGAAUCUUGGUUUCAUAUAAAUUCUUGUUGUUAGGCCUUACUAAGAAGUAGGAAAGGGCAUGGGCAAAAGGUAGGGAUAAAAACCACCAGCAUAUACAUGGACAUACACACACACCCACACACACAAACACACACACACACACAAUUUUCACGAUGUAUGGUCAGGAAUGUGACUGUAAACUGGACUUUGGGGCCCAGGCAUAAGUCCCUUCCUCCAGGACCUUUCCUAUUUAUAUGUCCCUAUACAAAAUCCAUCUGCUUUUAUACGUAGCUGUUUUAUCAUCUGUAGCUUCAUCCUAUCCGGAGGCACAGCACAUGAGCCCUGGACAGGUCCCAAAGUUCCAAGCAGUCCUUUCCGUGAAAGCAGGGGUUUGCAUGUGCUACCAACACAUGAUACGGGGAAGACCCACCCAGGGAGCGGUUUCAGUGGCGCAACAAAGCACCACUUUUACUGUUGCCUACUUCUGACCAAGAAGAAAAAGGACCUUAGUAUUUAGCAUAAAAUUCCAGCGCUGGAUGAAUGCAGAUCUAGUUUGGUCUGUGGCUAGUUUAAAUAUGUUUCUAACCACAGAGAAUUUCAUAUAUAUAUACAUAUAUAUAUACACAUACAUAUAUAUAUAUAUAUAUGUAUGUAUAAAAUUUCACAGGGAUAUGCUUUUUUUUUUAAAGACUGAAUGUGUUCACCAUUUAGCCUGUAGAUUUAUUUCCAUUUUCCAAAUUCCAGCACACAGAGAUCCCAGCCCCUAUGAGUAGGGUGUUUGUGGACUACCUAAUGGAAUAUUUUUGAGGCCUGGAUGAACUUUGCCAUAUGGGUAGAGGUUACAGAGGGAGGUGAUAUUUUCAGCUAAAAAAAAAAACGGGUGGAGUUUGGACUGAUCAACUUGAGAUUUAAAAACUGCUAUUCCUUUUGUUCUUUCUAGCAUCUCUCCCCACCCUCUGAGAGCUCCUCAGGCUUAGAUAGUGAAGUGAUCAAAUGCCAGUGUCAUUUUGUACUUAAGUUCCAAAGUAGGAACAUUUUAUACUUUUUUCUGUAUUGUAAUAGGUAGUUUUGUAUGAAAUCUUUUCUCCUCUCCCGUUGUACCGCAUUCUUUCCAGCAUUGUGCUUUUUCCCUGGGCUUAUUUGAAAAUUUUACUGUUUUAUACAAGCUCGUUUAGUACAUUUUUCUAUGUUUUACCACAAGUUACAAUUUGAAAAGAAAACUAUUUUUUUUAAAUAUUCCAUUGUUAACUGAAUGUUACUGUUUCCACUCCAGCAACUACAUGUCCUCCCUUCAACUGCCUGCCUUUUGGGGAAAGACCACCUUUUGUGUGUUUGUUUUUUCUCUCUCUUUCUUUCCCUUUCUCUUUCUAUCUCUCUUUAUUUUUCUUUCUUUUUCUUUGUUUUUGAGUUUUCUAUAGGAAAUAAAUAGCUUUCUAUAUAUGAGUUGCUGGGGACCUUCACAUUCUCUUUUAGAAAGCUGUGGCAUGCAGUCUCAUUGCAGGACUCCUGGAAUAUUGUCUGGUUCUUGGUAUUUACUGUAUGUAAGCAACAACUUGAAAGGUGGCAAUAUGGUGUCGAUUUGGACUAUGAAUCAAAAGACCUUUUUCAGGUUCUUUCACUAUUGUCUGGGGGACUCAGAACAAGAUUGUUCUCUGUAUUUAUUGUUUGUCCAUUUAGGUAACAUCUGUCUUACCUUCCUCACAGACUUUGUACAGACCAAAGCAACAAAUAUUUAUUGCCAUGUAUAGCAGAAAAUGAAACAUGCAACAAAAGCACUUUGAAAAAUAUAUAAGGAAUUGUUGAGCCUGUCUGAAUUUGGGCCCCCUUUCUGACUAAUGCAGUUUUGCACAAGGUAGAAGUUAGUGACCCUGAGACCAUCUUACCACCCUGGACCUGGUCCAAAUACAGACUUACACAGUGGACCAUUCUUUCCUGAGCUAGCCAACAAGAGCAGGAGUAGUAUCUGGAAACUUUCCCCUUUGUUUAGGGGUAGGCUUUGAUGACCAGGAAAAAAAAAAAGGUAUUUCUGCAUUUUAUGGCCCAAAGGCAUGUUAUUAAUAUCUUAUGUAAUUUACUUUAAACUAAAUAAGACUUUUUUCUCCUGUGU